AUGAAGGAGACGAGCUCUCAGUGCAUCGAGAUCAAGGACAUUGAUGCGGUGGUAUUCAAGCCGUUACUUUACUUCAUCUACACCGACUCUGUACUGGAAUUCGAUGUUCAGCAUGAGGCGAUCACGAUGUUGGCUCAGCAUUUACUUGCAGCUGCUGACAAGUAUGGACUGGACAGGCUCAAGGAGAUCUGUGAAGGUAAGCUCUCUGAUGGCAUCAGUAUCGACACGGCAGCGACAACUCUGGCUUUAGCUGAGCAGCAUAACUGCCCCAAACUCAAGGUGAAGUGCGUUGAAUUCAUAGUUAGUACUCCUGAGAUUCUUGAUGCUGUGUUGGCGACGGAUGGAUAUAAGCAUCUGGAGGCAAGCUGUCCUAUGGUGUUGCCUGAGCUUCUUAAGUCUGCGCGGGGCAGAAAGAGUUGA
rnacentral:rRNA from 1 species